rnacentral:rRNA from 1 species
ACGCUCGACACCUACGAGAGGCAGCAGUGGGGGAUAUUGCACAAUGGGGGAAACCCUGAUGCAGCAACGCCGCGUGAAGGAAGAAGGUCUUCGGAUUGUAAACUUCUGUCCUCAGGGAAGAUAAUGACGGUACCUGAGGAGGAAGCUCCGGCUAACUACGUGUCAGCAGCCGCGGUAAUCUGAGCGGGCUGGCAAGGC